UACAGAGGGUGCGAGCGUUAAUCGGAAUUACUGGGCGUAAAGCGAGCGUAGUCGGUUAUUUAAGUCGGGUGUGAAAGCCCCGGGCUCAACCUGGGAAUUGCAUUCGAUACUGGAUAGCUAGAGUUCGGCAGAGGGAAGCGGAAUUUCCGGGUGUAGCGGUGAAAUGCGUAGAUAUCGGAAGGAACAUCAGUGGCGAAAGCGGCUUCCUGGACCAGAACUGACGAUCAGGCUCGAAAGCGUGGGGAGCAAACAGG
rnacentral:rRNA from 1 species